rnacentral:lncRNA from 1 species
UAUAAUUUUUUUGAAAAAGAAAUCUGGAAAUUUAUUUUCCACAAAUAAAAUUAGUUAUUUUGGAAAAUAAAAAUUAUUUUUUUUCAAUUUUUUUAUUUAAUUCAAAAAAUUUAUCUUUUUUCUAAAAACUUAAAAAAAAAAUUCAAAACAAAUAAAAAGUAUAAAAAAAUCUGGAGUUUUUUUCUUAAAUUAAAAAAAAU